ensembl:snRNA U1 U1 spliceosomal RNA
AUACUUAACCUGGCAGGGGAGAUACCAUGAUCAAGAAGGUGGUUUUCCCAGGGCGAGGCUUAUCCAUUGCACUCGGGAUGUGCUGACCUCUGCGAUUUCCCCAAAUGUGGGAAACUCGACUGCAUAAUUUGUGGUAGUGGGGGACUGUGUUCACACUUUCCCCUG